UACGAAGGGUGCAAGCGUUAUUCGGAAUUAUUGGGCGUAAAGGGCGCGUAGGCGGCUAGAUGUGUCAAAGGUGAAAUCCCUCGGCUCAACUGAGGAACUGCCUUUGAAACUGUCUGGCUUGAGGCCGGGAGAGGGUAGCGGAAUUCCCAGUGUAGCGGUGAAAUGCGUAGAUAUUGGGAGGAACACCAGUGGCGAAGGCGGCUACCUGGACCGGUUCUGAUGCUGAGGCGCGAAAGCGUGGGUAGCAAACAGG
rnacentral:rRNA from 1 species